AUAAUAUGUAUGCUUUUUUAGAUCUCGUAACCAGCCUCUAUAACCAGGCAGAGCGCAUGCGUGAAAUAAAUUUCCAUCGAGAUCGGAAAACAGCAGAGAGGAAAUUCGGAAUAUAUAAUGGAAACUAGUAAUGCGGAAUGAUACUAUAGUCAGAUGCAGAAAUUUUUGCAUAAUUCGAUCAACUUUUAUUUAAAAAAGCAGAAGAAUAAAUGAAUCAACUUUACAUGUAAGCCUGUCAAGGAGGAAGCAAAGGAUAUAGAAACUUAUAACAAUGGACAAAGAUUUAUAAUUGUGUGAAACUAUCUUUACAUUGUAAAUGCCAAUGUAUCCUGAUUCCUCUAUUGCAUAAAUCGAGAGAAAUCUAAAAAUUCCA